AGAAGUUUUGCUCUCUUAUAAAGUACAACAGCAACAGGCAUGCGAGAAGAUUAGCAUGGCCCCUGCGCAAGGAUGACACGCACAAAUUGAGAAAUGGUCCAAAUUUUU